rnacentral:rRNA from 1 species
UGUACAGGUGGUGCAUGGCUGUCGUCAGCUCGUGUCGUGAGAUGUUGGGUUAAGUCCCGCAACGAGCGCAACCUUGUCUUAUGUUGCCAGCACGUGAUGGUGGGGACUCGUAAGAGACUGCCGGGGUCAACUCGGAGGAAGGUGGGACGACGUCAAGUCAUCAUGCCCCUUAUGUCCAGGGCUUCACACAUGCUACAAUGGCCAGUACAGAGGGCUGCGAGACCGUGAGGUGGAGCGAAUCCCUUAAAGCUGGUCUCAGUUCGGAUCGGGGUCUGCAACUCGACCCCGUGAAGUCGGAGUCGCUAGUAAUCGCAGAUCAGCAACGCUGCGGUGAAUACGUUCCCGGGCCUU